rnacentral:sRNA from 1 species
GAAUCCAUGGAAAACUUUCUUCCCAAACUGAGCCGGAUCGUGCCCCCAAAUGUGCGACUACAGACUCGGGGAGAGAAAGGAGUGAGACUGAGGGUGUGCCCAGUACUGCCAUCCGAGAGAUCUCUCUGCUUAAGGAGCUUAACCAUCCUAAUAUUGUCAAGCUGCUGGAUGUCAUUCACACAGAAAAUAAACUCUACCUGGUUUUUGAAUUUCUGCACCAAGAUCUCAAGAAAUUCAUGGAUGCCUCUGCUCUCACUGGCAUUCCUCUUCCCCUCAUCAAGAGCUAUCUGUUCCAGCUGCUCCAGGGCCUAGCUUUCUGCCAUUCUCAUCGGGUCCUCCACCGAGACCUUAAACCUCAGAAUCUGCUUAUUAACACAGAGGGGGCCAUCAAGCUAGCAGACUUUGGACUAGCCAGAGCUUUUGGAGUCCCUGUUCGUACUUACACCCAUGAGGUGGUGACCCUGUGGUACCGAGCUCCUGAAAUCCUCCUGGGCUGCAAAUAUUAUUCCACAGCUGUGGACAUCUGGAGCCUGGGCUGCAUCUUUGCUGAGAUGGUGACUCGCCGGGCCCUAUUCCCUGGAGAUUCUGAGAUUGACCAGCUCUUCCGGAUCUUUCGGACUCUGGGGACCCCAGAUGAGGUGGUGUGGCCAGGAGUUACUUCUAUGCCUGAUUACAAGCCAAGUUUCCCCAAGUGGGCCCGGCAAGAUUUUAGUAAAGUUGUACCUCCCCUGGAUGAAGAUGGACGGAGCUUGUUAUCGGUGAGAGUGGGCACCUGUUUUCCCUCAUUCAUUUCUCCCAGGGAAGGGCUUUUCCAGGAUGAAGGAAGGAUGAGACCCUGAAAUCUGGGCCUCAGUGUUUCAUUUCCCUGGUUCCUGCUCUCCCUGUUGGCACACUGAUUCAGCUAUGGGAGGAUGGAAGUGAGAAUUCUGCCUUGGGUAGAAGGAGUUCUGGUUUCCUGAUUUCUGGGAACACCUGCUGCCCAUUUAGUCCACUAUCACAUCAUUGAAGUCAACAUGCAUCUCUCCCUCUAGCAAAUGCUGCACUACGACCCUAACAAGCGGAUUUCGGCCAAGGCAGCCCUGGCUCACCCUUUCUUCCAGGAUGUGACCAAGCCAGUACCCCAUCUUCGACUCUGA